CCUACGGGAGGCAGCAGUGGGGAAUUUUGGACAAUGGGCGCAAGCCUGAUCCAGCAAUGCCGCGUGGGUGAAGACGGCCUGCGGGUUGUAAAGCCCUUUUAGUGGGGAAGAAAGCCUCGAGGGGAACAGCCUCGGGGGGUGACGUUACCCACCGAAAAAGCACCGGCCAACUCCGUGCCAGCAGCCGCGGUAAUACGGAGGGUGCGAGCGUUAAUCGGAAUUACUGGGCGUAAAGCGCGCGUAGGCGGUGCGCUAAGUCCGCUGUGAAAGCCCUGGGCUCAACCUGGGAAUGGCAGUGGGGACUGGCGCACUCGAGUGCGAGAGAGGAGAGUGGAAUUCCCGGUGUAGCGGUGAAAUGCGUAGAGAUCGGGAGGAACAUCGAUGGCGAAGGCAGCUCUCUGGAUCGACACUGACGCUGAGGGGCGAAAGCGUGGGGAGCAAACAGGAUUAGAUACCCUGGUAGUCCACGCGGUAAACGAUGAGAACUGGAUGUCGGGAGGGUUUGCCUUCCGGUGUCGUAGCUAACGCGAUAAGUUCUCCGCCUGGGAAGUACGGCCGCAAGGUUGAAACUUAAAGGAAUUGACGG
rnacentral:rRNA from 1 species